UCUACCACCUGAACAACCUGACUUUACAGCAUGAGGGAAACAAUAAAGGAGUGAAGGAAGAGAUUCUCAAGUCAGAUAGGGAAAGCGUUUUUUUGGGAUAGGAAAAGGGGCUUUCCAAUCUGAGGAACUGAAUGCUUUUUGUGGUAGAGACAGAGCAAGUGGCUGGUAAAAAAGGCCAUAAGGACAAAAAGUGGAAAUUCUGUUUAAAAAGGUGAGAAACAGAGAGGAGGUAUGUACCUAGGGAGAAAGUCUGAACUUAGGAAAGGUAAGCAAGGUUGAAGGGUAGGGAAAGUAAAGGAAAGAGAUAUGUAUAUGCUUUAGGGUUUAUUUAAAUGUUGCUCUCUAGAAAACUAAACUUUUAAAUUAAUCCUGGACUCUGAAAUUCAAUUAAAA